GGCGCUGUGGCGUAGCGGGUAACGCCCUGGCCUGCAGCGCCAGCAUCCCAUAUGGGCGCCGGUUCGAGUCCCGGCUGCUCCA
rnacentral:tRNA from 1 species